rnacentral:rRNA from 1 species
GGUCAGGACGAACGCUGGCGGCGUGCCUAACACAUGCAAGUCGAGCGAGGAGAUCCUUCGGGAUGAUCCUAGCGGCGGACGGGUGAGUAACACGUGGGCAACCUGCCUCAUAGAGAGGAAUAGCCUUCCGAAAGGGAGAUUAAUACCUCAUAACAUUGCAGUUUCGCAUGGAACAGCAAUUAAAGGAGCAAUCCGCUAUGAGAUGGGCCCGCGGCGCAUUAGCUAGUUGGUGAGGUAACGGCUCACCAAGGCGACGAUGCGUAGCCGACCUGAGAGGGUGAUCGGCCACAUUGGGACUGAGACACGGCCCAGACUCCUACGGGAGGCAGCAGUGGGGAAUAUUGCACAAUGGGGGAAACCCUGAUGCAAGCAACGCCGCGUGAGUGAUGACGGCCUUCGGGUUGUAAAGCUCUGUCUUCAGGGACGAUAAUGACGGUACCUGAGGAGGAAGCCACGGCUAACUACGUGCCAGCCGCUGC